CUCUGAUUCAAAGGAAAAUCGUGUUCAGUUAAGCAAUUCUUUGAGUUUAUUAAACAAUAUGGAAUCAUGUUGUCUCAGAGAACAUGGCUAUUGUACAAGAAGUAGAAUUCUUGGGCACACACAUUAAAGAUGGUCAAUACACUCCAACCACAUGUUGGUAACACCUAAACAACCGAGCAAAAAAUGAGUUGAUUUCCAGCCUUCUCAAUGAUGGAAAAUAAAACAAAUUUAGGCAACAAUUUUGAUUGAAGAGAAAAUCGGAAGUAGAAGAGUAUGCAGUUACAAAUAUGGGACAUUCCUAGAUUCAUAACACCGUUACCAUUCCACUUUCAAAGAAAUUCUUGCAAUCAAAAGAGAUAUUGAAAAGUUCCUACUGUUGACAAAUUAUUUAUAGAAAUGAACAUGUCUGCAUUUCCAAACAUGAUGACCUUAAAAAAUAAACAAGUUCCAACUCAACUUCUCCGAUGGGCUGAAUAGUUUUCGAAUUUUGACUUUAAUGUAGAACACAUAAAAAUCUUCCCUCACGACCAAAAUUAUCACAUGUCAAUUCUAUCCAUAUUCCCAUUGCUUAGAUGAUGAAUCGUCAACAAUCUUCCUCUAGAACUUCAUUCUCUCCACGGAACCAGGACUCUUCAUUUCAGAACCAAAGAACUGAUACUUAAAUACCGGUCAUUGGUAAUUACUAAAACUGGAAUUCAAACUUUAAGAGGCCUAGGUUUU
rnacentral:lncRNA from 1 species